UACAGAGGGUGCAAGCGUUGUUCGGAAUUAUUGGGCGUAAAGCGCGUGUAGGCGGCUUUGCAAGUCGGGUGUGAAAGCCCUCAGCUCAACUGAGGAAGUGCGCCCGAAACUGCAGAGCUUGAGUACCGGAGAGGAUGGCGGAAUUCCCCAAGUAGAGGUGAAAUUCGUAGAUAUGGGGAGGAACACCGGUGGCGAAGGCGGCCAUCUGGACGGAUACUGACACUCAACUACGAAAGCGUGGGGAGCAAACAGG
rnacentral:rRNA from 1 species